CCUACGGGCGGCAGCAGUGAGGAAUAUUGGUCAAUGGACGAGAGUCUGAACCAGCCAAGUAGCGUGAAGGAUGACUGCCCUAUGGGUUGUAAACUUCUUUUAUAUGGGAAUAAAAUGUUCCACGUGUGGGAUUUUGUAUGUCCCAUAUGAAUAAGGAUCGGCUAACUCCGUGCCAGCAGCCGCGGUAAUACGGAGGAUCCGAGCGUUAUCCGGAUUUAUUGGGUUUAAAGGGAGCGUAGGUGGAUUGUUAAGUCAGUUGUGAAAGUUUGCGGCUCAACCGUAAAAUUGCAGUUGAAACUGGCAGUCUUGAGUACAGUAGAGGUGGGCGGAAUUCGUGGUGUAGCGGUGAAAUGCUUAGAUAUCACGAAGAACUCCGAUUGCGAAGGCAGUUCACUGGACUGCAACUGACACUGAGGCUCGAAAGUGUGGGUAUCAAACAGGAUUAGAUACCCUAGUAGUC
rnacentral:rRNA from 1 species